GAGAAAUCCUCAUAUGAUGGCAAUGACUUUGCACUGGUAAGGAAAAGAAUACCUUCAUGCCUUCAUGGUUCUUGCCCUUUUUCUGUCUCACCAAAAUCAAGACUCAGGUCAUGUGCACGUUUGUCAAGAAAACACCUUUUUUUUUCCAUAAAAUAAAAAGGCCCUGGAAGACAAGUGUAAUGCAUUGAGGUCUAUGAAAGCCACAAAAGAAGCAAAAGUCAAACAGCUGAAGGAGAAAGCACAUAACCUGGAAGAAUUCUAUGAACAAAGAAAAGUGCCUACAUAAAAGAAGCUGAAAAUGACACUGUGAACUGGCGGCAAAGAAGAAUCAGUUGGCAGCUGCAAGCAACAAAUUGAACAAACACGGGAACGGCUGCAGCAGGCAGAGCUCACCUUUAGACACCAGAUCGCAGUUCAUAAGAAGAAUGCUCAGGACAACUAGGUAAGUGUUUUCUUGUUUCCUCCUCUUUCUUUGGUGCACAGUCUGGCACGACUGGAGGUGGAUGUGUCUUUUCUCCCCCAGCUCAAGACUCACAUCUGGGACAGGGAGAUGGCGGAGCAGGGCAGGGAGGUCGCUUACUUGAAAUAUAGGUGUGGUCAUUUGACUUGCGUUUUUAUGGGUGUUUCCAGGGAUGACGCCCGCACUGUUUGUUGUCUAGUAGACGACAUGGUGUUGCAACUCUUAUAGAAGUCCAUUAUUUUUCUGUAUCCAGGACUGGAAGGGAUGGAAGCAAAGAGGCUGCCUGAGGGAUACACGAGGCAGAAACCAAUGGCUGCAAGACCAGAGACGCAGAAUCCUCCAAGGAGAGGGUCUUUAGUAGAUCGAGAAACUGCUGAAACCUCUGUGAGUUACAGCAGCUCUGACUGUACCAAGAAUGCAGACAAGGACAAGGGCGGUCUGGAUCCUGAGGACCUCCUCCAUUAACUGGAAGAUUCUGCAUGCCCUACCCUAGAUGUGCUCCGCCCCCAUGGACUAUUAGGCACAUCCACCUCCUGAACCUUGGUGGCCCUGGGGCCACCCCGAACCCCUCCACCUGCAACACUUGGGCUUUUUGUAGGUCCAGAAGCAGGUGUCACACUCAAGAGUGACAUCAACACUGGCUCUGCCAAAACUGCCAAGAAGCACAAGGCUAUUAUGUAUGCAAGAGGGCCUGGUCCUUUCCCAGGAUCGCCUUGCAGGCUGUACCCCAGCACCACCCUUCACCACCAGUCAUGGGCUAUAGGCCACAUUCCCCUCCUCCACCAGCUCCUCCACCUAUUCUAUUUGUCAAGAUGACCUGAAUUGGAUGAGUGGCUGGACAACCACUUUGAAAUUUGAAGAGGACUGUGCACGGUGACAGACUAUGGUGAUUAUAUAUACAUUUUAAGAACGUAUCAGAUCUACCUGAAUGCUUUCCCUGCCCAUCAUGUCACCUCCACUUUGUCCUUCCUACUGUCCCCUAAUCCACCUUUCACCAUUCUGUCUCUGUGUCAGCGUCUGCUUCUAGGACCAUCUACUCUCACUCCCCAUCGAGUGCACACAGUGGGGUUCCUGUACACACAGGUAACAAACUGGCAGAAAUGGUGAUGAUAGAGGAUAGAAGCAAGAUCACCCUUUAUGCAGGGGAGCCUGAGGGAGUUUUCCAGGGUGAUGGGAACUUCCUACAUCUAGAUUGUUGAGGUGCUUAUGCUAAUUUAUUUUAGAAAUAUUCACUGACUCCCUGGUGCCUCGGGGUCAGAUAGACAGGUAUCUGUCCUAGGAAAUGGCUGAGUUCUAAUGGUGGGGAAGGAUGAGGGACCAGCAGUGACUUUGGGAGAGGAGUGAGGAGGCCACACAUGGAGUCAGACCCUCGCCCAGAAUGCCAGGUCUCCACAGACUACACCACGUGUAGGAGGGCUCUGAGGAGCAGAUAUUUCUUGAUCUGACCCGUGAACUACCUAAUCCUCUUGCAGUUUCCUCACUGAGGGAUGGACAGGGCAGAGACCAGCAGCUGGAGGACACCCUGAUCACGGCUGGAUUGGAGCAGUGGGCCUGGGGGAUUGAGUCUGAGAAAGGAACAGGCAGAAGGUAGCGACAGGGGGUUUGAGAGACAAAGGGAAGAAAAGAGAAGGGACUCUUGUCUGUUGACUUCACCUACAUUUCUGUGUGACCAAAAGGAGACUCUUGUCUCCAAGGGUAGGGAAGAGGGCCAGCAAAAAGAGUGACAUUCUCAGCUCAAGAGUCCAGGAUGUCUGCCUUGCUCUUGAGUACCUAACACAGGAAGUGCAUACUUUUUGUCAUGAUUGGAACUGCGGCUCGUACCAUUUAGUGAAAAUCAAUCCAAUUAUGAAUCCCUCAACAUUAAAGUACUGCAACAAAAUUAAGUGAACAGACUGAAAAAUACAACACAGGAUAAAGUCCAAGGGUAGACUGACCCCAAUACUUACAGGAAUACAGUCUAUCAGAAAAGGAGGUAGGUACCCCAGUGCAGGCAUUCAGACACCUGGGCAAUAUCUGAAAGCGUAAAAAAAAAAAAUUUAGUCCUUCAAAAGCAACAUAAGCGCUAGACACAAAGGGAUCAUGAUUUAAGGUUUAGAGAGAAACCAUAUGAUUUCAUGGUGCUGUAUCCAUGAGAUCAAGUCUCAUCAGAUUAUACCCUUUAACUUGGGGCUAUUUGUUAUAUGUAAAUUAUACCUCAUUAAAGAGAGUUUCAAAACAUAAAAUACUAGAAGAAAAUGUGGGAACGUUCCUUUCUAAUCCUGAAGUGCAUGGGUGAUAUGAGUCUGUCUGCCCAUGUCUCAAAACUCCAAAAUAAUAAGACAUUUAAAAAAAUUAAUAAUAGAGUAAGAGGACCCUGAGCUCACCCUGUCCCAUGUGUUCAACUACAUAACAUCCACAUCCAAGUCCAUGAACCAGAGAGCUAUCCAAAGACUGGCAGAACAAACCCCCCACCUAAAUAGAGAGAAGCUUCAUCAGAAAGGUUAGGAAGGUCAGAAAGGUGGAGGCUGGCUGCCUGCAGAGAAGACAGAGAAAGUGAGCCCUCACAACAGGGAGCUGACACAGGGAAGACUAAUCCCCAGAACAUUUGGCUGUAAAACCCAGAGGGACUGAAUUCCCUUGAGUUUGGUUCCUGGAGCUUUGGAGAUCAGCUGACCCAGCACUGGGUGAUCUAGGAGGAUGAGUGUAACCAGGUCCCUACCUGUGUAGAGAGGCAAUGUACACAUGGCAUUUUACACAAUGCCAAGGCAACAGGAGGCAGAUCUGUUCAUGCUGACUUCUGAGUGGUUGGGGGACUUUUCCAAAAAUGAGGGAGCUCACAGUCACCAUUUUUAACCCCAACCCCCACCCCCAGAUUAAGCACAGAGGCACCUACCAGGAAUUGGACCUGCAAAGACACUUGCUAACUAACGUGCUAGCUGUGUGCCAGUCCCAAGAGUUCUCUAGGGGAAUCGCCCACUCAAAGCCUGCUGGCCUUGUGGCAAACUUUUUUAAAACCACAUGGGCACCCUGUCUGGCCAGCUGUAGGCAAAGCUGCCACUGCACACAUCUGCACCGUACCCAGCUGUGCACCUCCAGCUACCCUUAUCUGUCUCACACAGCCACAUGUCCCCAAACACCAAAGCACAGCAACAGAUUUGUCAACAGAAUCUUGGCAAGCCAGAAGGAAGUGACAUGACGUAUUCAAAGUGCCGAAUGGAAAAAUCACCAGCCAAGA